GGCCAGCAGCCGCGGUAAUACGGAGGAUGCAAGCGUUAUCCGGAAUGAUUGGGCGUAAAGGGUCCGCAGGUGGCAUUGAAAGUCUGCUGUUAAAGAGUGAGGCUCAACCUCAUAAAAGCAGUGGAAACUACAAAGCUAGAGUGCGUUCGGGGUAGCAGGAAUUCCUGGUGUAGCGGUGAAAUGCGUAGAGAUCAGGAAGAACACCGGUGGCGAAAGCGUGCUACUAGGCCGUAACUGACACUGAGGGACGAAAGCUAGGGGAGCGAAUGGGAUUAGAUACCCCAGUAGUCCUAGCCGUAAACGAUGGAUACUAGGCGUGGCUUGUAUCGACCCGAGCCGUGCCGGAGCUAACGCGUUAAGUAUCCCGCCUGGGGAGUACGCACGCAAGUGUGAAACUCAAAGGAAUUGACGGGGGCCCGCACA
rnacentral:rRNA from 1 species